rnacentral:rRNA from 1 species
AACGAACGCUGGCGGCAUGCCUAACACAUGCAAGUCGAACGCUUCUCUUCGGAGAGGAGUGGCGCACGGGUGAGUAACGCGUGGAAACCUGCCCCGGAGUGGGGGAUAACCCGGCGAAAGCCGGGCUAAUACCGCAUACGGCCUACGGGCGAAAGAUUUAUCGCUCUGGGAGGGGUCCGCGUCCGAUUAGCUAGUUGGCGGGGUAACGGCCCACCAAGGCGACGAUCGGUAGCUGGUCUGAGAGGAUGAUCAGCCACACUGGGACUGAGACACGGCCCAGACUCCUACGGGAGGCAGCAGUGGGGAAUAUUGGACAAUGGGGGCAACCCUGAUCCAGCAAUGCCGCGUGAGUGAUGAAGGCCUUAGGGUUGUAAAGCUCUUUCGUCCGCGACGAUGAUGACGGUAGCGGAAGAAGAAGCCCCGGCUAACUUCGUGCCAGCAGCCGCGGUAACAC